GACGAACGCUGGCGGCGUGCUUAACACAUGCAAGUCGAACGGAAAGGCCCUGCGUUUGUUGCGUGCUCGUGUGGCGAGCGGGGGAGUAACACGUGAGUAACCUGCCCUUGACUUUGGGAUAACUUCAGGAAACUGGGGCUAAUACCCGAUAUGAUCUCCUGCUGCAUGGUGGGGGUUGGAAAGUUUCGGCUGUUGGGGAUGGACUCGCGGCUUAUCAGCUUGUUGGUGGGGUAGUGGCUUACCACGGCUUUGACGGGUAGCCCGCCUGAGAGGGUGACCGGGCACAUUGGGACUGAGAUAGGGACCAGAAUCCUACGGGCGGCAGCAGUGGGAAACAUUGCACAAUGGGCCGACGCCUGAUACAGCAACGUCGGGUGCGGGAUGACCGCUUUCGGGUUAUAAACAGAUUUCGAAUGUAACGAAGACUGAGUGACGGUAAUGGGUCAAGAAGCAACGGCUAACUACGUG
rnacentral:rRNA from 1 species